UAACUUAGUAGCUUGAAUAAGAAUACAUUUCUUACUUGAAUGCUACUGUUAAAUGCUCUGGCGAGGAGAUAUACAUGGCAGACUGUGUACAGUUCACUCAGGAUGUGGUCAAUGCUAGUAGAGUGGUGGAACUAUGGGGUCACAUUGUAGGCAAAAACCCGGAAAUGAGUUAGCAUUUUAGCAUUUAGCAUUUAUUCUGGUUCCAUCCUCCCAGAGUCAAAGGGUUUUUUGAAUGGGAUUUUGGUUAAAUCCCUUAAAUAAGCUGUUACAUGUCUUGAAAAUGAUGGUUGCUAACAAGUGGCUAAAUGGGACUACAGAGGCUGUCUGCGACAUUAAACGUCAUCAUACUGAACAGGUAACUAGAGAGUACGAAAGCUCCAGUUUGGAUCCGGCCUCUUACGAAGACUUCAGAUGCCCCGACAAUUGUGAAGAGAUGACCCCAACCUCCUGCGAGGACUUGAUGAUGCAAACUCUGGAUCAACAUGCACCAAUGCAAAAUUUAUCAUAUAUUGUAAUCAUUAUGUUCACAACCUGUAAUAAUUACUUCAAUGAGCUUAAAUGAAUACAUUGUUAGCUAACUGCGUGAUUUGUAUAUGUACAUUGCUGAAAUACAUUACUUGGAGAAAGUCACCUCUGAUAACAGAUCACUCUAAAUUGUAAUGCAGGCACAUGCAUUUUCUGUAAAGCUGUUUUGAAACGGUAUGUAUUAUUAAAAGCACUAUACAAAUAAAUGUUGAUUGAAUUUUGGUUCGCAUGGACCAAA